CGCAACGCGCAGAACCUAACCAACCCUUGACAUCCCGGUCGCGAUUUCCAGAGAUGGAUUUCUUCAGUUCGGCUGGACCGGAGACAGGUGUUGCAUGGCUGUCGUCAGCUCGUGUCGUGAGAUGUUGGGUUAAGUCCCGCAACGAGCGCAACCCUCGCCUUUAGUUGCCAUCAUUUAGUUGGGCACUCUAGAGGGACUGCCGGUGAUAAGCCGGAGGAAGGUGGGGAUGACGUCAAGUCCUCAUGGCCCUUACGGGUUGGGCUACACACGUGCUACAAUGGCGGCGACAAUGGGCAGCGAAGGGGCGACCCGGUGCAAAUCCCAAAAAGCCGUCUCAGUUCGGAUUGUACUCUGCAACUCGAGUGCAUGAAGGUGGAAUCGCUAGUAAUCGCGUAACAGCAUGACGCGGUGAAUACGUUCCCGGGCCUUGUACACACCGCCCGUCACACCAUGGGAGUUGGUUUUACCCGAAGCUGGUGCGCUAACCGCAAGGAGGCAGCCAACCACGGUAAGGUCAGCGACUGGGGUGAGGUCGUAACAAGGUAGCCCUAGGGGAACCUGGGGAUGGAUCACCUCCGUAAGCUUGGAUCCCGGGAAU
rnacentral:rRNA from 1 species